AUGGAUACGGGACGACAGACAUGGUCGCUCAAUCAGCAAGACCUGCGGAUCAAUAUCUGUGGAAGAGAAGUCACAGUCCUAUGGCGGGAAACAGUAAAUUAUCUCAUUGAUAAGACGUAUAGUUUACCUCUUUGGCUUCUUUGUCUUCUUCACUGUGUUAAAAUCGAUGAAGAAACCCUCCUGAAGAAGCUGCUCAGUGGAGCGGUUAGAGGCAGCGCCUGGAUUUGGAGCAAGUUUCAGCGACGCGUCAGCAACGAAGCACAGAGACACAAGACCAGGCGGGAAGAGACGAUCGUUCGGUCAAAAUGAGAAUCUGCGAAUGCAACAUGUGGAACACGGAGAGUGGAAUAUGUAAACAAACCGGUUAACGUACCCCCCAACACCCCCCACCAAAAAAACCCCAAACAAACAAACACACAAAAAAAACAGUUAAGCUGGAACACGGGGCUGUGAGCUCGGUACACUCUGCAUGCUGACUGUUAGCAGAGCGAGUGACAUCUCUGAAAACAGCUGAGCACAAACAUGUUCUAUGUUGACAACCUGACCAGACAUGUGAAGAUUACGCCACGACAUCCGCGGCUAAAACACUGUUAAAAGUGUAGCUGGUGACAGAAAAACGGGGCGUUUUAAAACUUUACACCACCACCAUUGCUGCCUGUGAUUUGAAAUGCAAUCUGGGAUACCUGGCUGCCCCAAGUCCACACAAGCAAUCGAUUAUCUAGGAUCGACCUGUCUUGACUUGCUUUGCACGGCAACCAAUCAAAUGUUAGAGAAGCUGCAGUGGCAGCGUUAACCCCGCCCACUUAGUUUGAUGGGUGAGGCUGACAGAUAAAAUGAUUUCAAGGCGAGAUAUGAAGGAGACAAAAGUGCCAAAAUGAAUUAAAUAAAUACAUCAUUAAAUAAUUAAUUAAAAUUCUCAAUAAUUAUUUAAAUGUGUUAUUAAUUAAUUAAAUGUGCCAAUAAUUAAUUAAUUAAAUGUGUUGUAAAUAUUUAUUUAAUUAAUUAUUUCCAAUUUUAAUUAACAUUUAAUUAACUAUUUAAUG
rnacentral:lncRNA from 1 species